AACAAUAUGAACAUAUCAUACAUAAUAUAGAAAAUGAUACAAAUUAUACUACUAUUAAUAAUAAUGUAUAUCUAACAAAAGCAGAUAAACAUAAAAAGAGGGUGGCAGCUAGUAACAGUGAUAUAAUGUGUAAAAAAGUACAUAAUAUGCAAAACACGUAUAGCAUGUAUACAAACUCGAAAUUGGUUAACCCAAAUAAUGUAGCUAGUAAAAAUUGGGAUGAAACAAAAACAUCAACAGAAAAUAUAAAAAGAGAAGAUUUUAUUUUGGAAGAAAAAAAGGAUUUAAGUGUACAUAUAAAGGGACAUACGGGUCUAGAGGAUAUAAUGGACAAAAUGGAGAAAGAAAAAGAGAAAGAAAGGGAGAAAGAAAAAAAAGAAAAAAAAGAAGAAAGAAAAAGAGAAAGAAAAAGAGAAAGAAAAAGAGAAAGAAAAAGAGAAAGAUAUGGAGAAAGAAAAAGAGAAAGAUAUGGAAAAGAAGGAGUAAAAGAAAUGGAGAAAGAAGGAGAGAAAGAAAGGGAAGAAGAGCUAUUACGUGCUGAACUGUAUCAACAAAAAAUGAAUUAUUUUAAAUCACAUGUAAAUCUACAUCAUAAAAAAGAAUUAAAAGAUUUAAAAUUGACUACAUCUGAAUAUGAUGAUAUGAUCAGACAGGUAAUUAAAUUAUAUGAAGAUGAGUUAGAAAGAAAAGGAGAAGAUACGAAUUGGUUAGAAAAAAAGAAAGAGAAACAUAAACAGAAUAAAUUAGAUACGGUUAAAUUAGAUUCAAAGGCAAGUAAAAAUAAAGUAAAAAAAAAUAAGGUAGAUACAAAAAAGGUAGAUACAAAUAAGGUAGAUAAAAAUAAGGUAGAUACAAAUAAGGUAGAUACAAAUAAGGUAGAUACAAAUAAGGUAGAUAAAAAUAAGGUAGAUAAAAAUAAGGUAGAUACAAAAAAGGUAGAUACAAAAAAGGUAGAUACAAAUAAAAUAUAUUCAACGGAGUUAGAUUCAACGGAGUUAGAUUCAACGGAGUUAGAUUCAAUGGAGUUAGAUACAAAUACGGUAAAUACAAAUAUGGUAAAUACAAAUAUGGUAAAUACAAAUAUGGUAAAUAAACAUAUGGUAAAUACAAAUAAUGUAGGUACAAAUAUGGUAGAUACAAAUAAUGUAGGUACAAAUAUGGUAGAUACAAAUAAGUUAGACACGAAUAAGUUAGACACGAAUAAAAUAUAUAAUAAUGCAGUAACAAUUUUUGGGUUGCAUGAUAAUGUGAAAAAUAUAGAAUUAGGUUCUGAAGGAAAAAAUAGUGAGGAGUUAGAUAAAGGGUUGAGUUGGGGUAUACCAACUGAGAAUCCAAAAGUUAUAGAAUGGUUAAAUAAUAAUCAACCAGAAGAGGACUGGUUAGAUAAUAAACAUUUAGCUACAGAAUGGCUAAAUAAUACCCUGUCAGAUGUGGAUACGUUAAAUAAGAACAAGUUAAAUAAUAAGUUAGAUAAUAAGGUAGAUAAUAAGUUAGAUAAUAAGUUAGAUAAUAAGGUAGAUAAUAAAAAAUUAAACAAAAGUAAGCUGAACAUUGACGAGUUAGAAAAAAAUAAAAAUGAAUAGGGACAUACCAGAAAAUAGCAGUAUAAGUACUGAAGUGAUGGGAAAUAAACUGUUUGAAAAUAAUCUACUGGGUAUUAAA
ensembl:lncRNA